CUUUGAGAUAUCAGCUGAUGUAAGAAGGGCUAUAUGAAUAAAUUUGAUUUGAUUUGAUGACAGAUGUGUGUGUGUGUUAAAUGUCUAGGUGUAUGACAGGUGUGUGUGUGUGUGUGUGUGUGUCUAGAUGUGUGUGUCUAGAUAUGUAUGUGUGUGUGUCUAGAUGUGUGUGUGUGUCUAGAUGUGUGUGUGUGUCUAGAUAAUAUAAUAAUAAUAAUAAUAAUA